ACCGGAGCUAAUACCGGAUAAUAUUUCGAACCGCAUGGUUCGAUAGUGAAAGAUGGCUUUGCUAUCACUUAUAGAUGGACCUGCGCCGUAUUAGCUAGUUGGUAAGGUAACGGCUUACCAAGGCAACGAUACGUAGCCGACCUGAGAGGGUGAUCGGCCACACUGGAACUGAGACACGGUCCAG
rnacentral:rRNA from 1 species